CCACAUCACUUUGAAAUACCGGUUCCGUUUGAUCAUCGAAGUUAAGCAACGUCGAGCCUGGCCAGUUCCUAGAUGGAUGUCCGCUUGGGAAUAUCAGAUGCUGUA